rnacentral:rRNA from 1 species
GACGAACGCUGGCGGCGUGCUUAACACAUGCAAGUCGAACGGAAAGGCCCUGCUUUUGUGGGGUGCUCGAGUGGCGAACGGGUGAGUAACACGUGAGUAACCUGCCCUUGACUUUGGGAUAACUUCAGGAAACUGGGGCUAAUACCGGAUAGGAGCUCCUGCUGCAUGGUGGGGGUUGGAAAGUUUCGGCGGUUGGGGAUGGACUCGCGGCUUAUCAGCUUGUUGGUGGGGUAGUGGCUUACCAAGGCUUUGACGGGUAGCCGGCCUGAGAGGGUGACCGGCCACAUUGGGACUGAGAUACGGCCCAGACUCCUACGGGAGGCCGCAGUGGGGAAUAUUGCACAAUGGGCGGAAGCCUGAUGCAGCAACGCCGUGUGCGGGAUGACGGCCUUCGGGUUGUAAACCGCUUUCGCCUGUGACGAAGCGUGAGUGACGGUAAUGGGUAAAGAAGCACCGGCUAACUACGUG